GACGACUCUCGGCAACGGAUAUCUCGGCUCUUGCAUCGAUGAAGAACGUAGCGAAAUGCGAUACCUGGUGUGAAUUGCAGAAUCCCGUGAACCAUCGAGUCUUUGAACGCAAGUUGCGCCCGAGGCCAUCCGGCCAAGGGCACGCCUGCCUGGGCGUCACGCUU
rnacentral:rRNA from 1 species